rnacentral:rRNA from 1 species
UACGAAGGGGGCUAGCGUUGCUCGGAAUCACUGGGCGUAAAGCGCACGUAGGCGGACUCUUAAGUCAGGGGUGAAAUCCUGGAGCUCAACUCCAGAACUGCCUUUGAUACUGAAGAUCUUGAGUCCGGGAGAGGUGAGUGGAACUGCGAGUGUAGAGGUGAAAUUCGUAGAUAUUCGCAAGAACACCAGUGGCGAAGGCGGCUCACUGGCCCGGUACUGACGCUGAGGUGCGAAAGCGUGGGGAGCAAACAGG